ACCUUGGAAGGACACAGUAGUUUCAGUGGUAGAUAAUUAUUUGCAAACACCUACUGAUCUUGUUGGCAAAGCACAUGCCCACGACUUACAGGUACACCCAUACACUUAUCGGAAUGAGAACCAGUUCUUACACUUCAACUUCCAUCAAGACCCAUAUGCAGAAUAUGAUUACUGGAUAAACAAGAUAGGAGUUGAUGGACUCUUCACAUAUUUCACUGGCAGCCUCCAUGACUUUCAGGAAUGGACCUCUCCUCUCUCUCAAGAUGAUGGUGAUGAUGAUGGCAAUGCUACUAAAUUGUUGCAUAAGAUUGCAACUUUAGUCUCCCUAUAGGAAGGGAUGAUUGUGUAAAAUGCAACUUCUCAAGACUGUAGCUUAGGGUAGAAAUCUCUCCAAUAAAAUUAUAGAUUUCACACAUUCUGCCUAGCUAGCUGUAUGUUGGUCACUACCCAAGUACUCAAAACUAUCCAAUCUAAUCAAAUGAAGCUUGUUCUUUGAAACUAA